UACGUAGGUGGCAAGCGUUAUCCGGAAUUAUUGGGCGUAAAGCGCGCGUAGGCGGCCUUCUAAGUCGGACGUGAAAUCCCUCGGCUUAACCGAGGAACUGCGUCCGAUACUGAAAGGCUUGAAUCCGGGAGAGGGAUGUGGAAUUCCAGGUGUAGCGGUGAAAUGCGUAGAUAUCUGGAGGAACACCGGUGGCGAAGGCGGCAUCCUGGACCGGUAUUGACGCUGAGGCGCGAAAGCUAGGGGAGCAAACGGG
rnacentral:rRNA from 1 species